GGCGAUUGAGCAAAUACAUAUUAGCACUGAAAACCGCAUCUGAAGAAGGAAGGGGACUUGAUUUUGGAGUUCUAAGUUGGUUGGGCUAGGAACCACUCCUCCAAUUCUCCGAAACCACCAGCAUUGAAGCUUUCGAAUCAUCAGGCUCACAGUCCAUUUUCGAAUCAUCCCUCACCUGUCAAAACUGAAAAGUGAAAUUUCACCAAAUUCUCUAGAAAUCCUAGGAGCCAUUCCACGUUGGAGUAUGAUGUUAGGGUUUCAGCUGAUGCAGAGGUCUUACAGUUCCAGGAGCUCUGGAUUUUUCACCAGCCGCAGAAAAUCGUCAGAUCCCGUGGUCCUGAUUCCAUUGAAGAUAAUCUACUGGUUGUCUUGAAGUAUUUGCAGAGGAAUUCAACCACACCGUCGUAUUCGUCGACAGACAGUCGGGGGGUUUUCUGUGCAAGAGAUUAGCCCUGCUUCUUCAGGGGCCUUCCCGUUCAGUUAUGAGGAUGAAUGGAGUGAGAAUAAAGAUAACACGCUACAUAGCUUAUCCGAUGCAGUUUUUGGUGCUAUCAUGUAUUUGCUCAAUCGGCCUUUGUGGGGAAGGAAAGAGAAGAGGCGGAAGAGGAGAAGGGAGGAAGAAGGUCUCACAUGAGAUUAAAAAUGAAUUAAAUAAAAAUAAAAGAAUUGAGGUUGGGAUA